AUGUUAUGUGGUAGAUAA
rnacentral:miRNA from 1 species